UAUAAGACUGGGAUAACUUCGGGAAACUGGAGCUAAUACCGGAUAACAUUUGGAACCGCAUGGUUCUAAAGUGAAAGAUGGUUUUGCUAUCACUUAUAGAUGGACCCGCGCCGUAUUAGCUAGUUGGUAAGGUAACGGCUUACCAAGGCAACGAUACGUAGCCGACCUGAGAGGGUGAUCGGCCACACUGGAACUGAGACACGGUCCAGACUCCUACGGGAGGCAGCAGUAGGGAAUCUUCCGCAAUGGGCGAAAGCCUGACGGAGCAACGCCGCGUGAGUGAUGAAGGGUUUCGGCUCGUAAAACUCUGUUAUUAGGGAAGAACAAAUGCGUAAGUAACUGUGCACAUCUUGACGGUACCUAAUCAGAAAGCCACGGCUAACUACGUGCCAGCAGCCGCGGUAAUACGUAGGUGGCAAGCGUUAUCCGGAAUUAUUGGGCGUAAAGCGCGCGUAGGCGGUUUCUUAAGUCUGAUGUGAAAGCCCACGGCUCAACCGUGGAGGGUCAUUGGAAACUGGGAAACUUGAGUGCAGAAGAGGAAAGUGGAAUUCCAUGUGUAGCGGUGAAAUGCGCAGAGAUAUGGAGGAACACCAGUGGCGAAGGCGACUUUCUGGUCUGUAACUGACGCUGAUGUGCGAAAGCGUGGGGAUCAAACAGGAUUAGAUACCCUGGUAGUCCACGCCGUAAACGAUGAGUGCUAAGUGUUAGGGGGUUUCCGCCCCUUAGUGCUGCAGCUAACGCAUUAAGCACUCCGCCUGGGGAGUACGACCGCAAGGUUGAAACUCAAAG
rnacentral:rRNA from 1 species